rnacentral:rRNA from 1 species
CUCGUAGGCGGCUCAACAAGUCGGUCGUGAAAGCCUGAGGCUCAACCUCAGGAUGCCGGUCGAAACUGUUGUGGCUAGGGUUCGGUAGAGGAGAGUGGAAUUCCCAGUGUAGCGGUGAAAUGCGCAGAUAUUGGGAGGAACACCAGUAGCGAAGGCGGCUCUCUGGGCCGAUACCGACGCUGAGGAGCGAAAGCUAGGGGAGCGAACAGGAUUAGAUACCCUGGUAGUCC